GCCGAAGUAGCUCAAUGGCAGAGCACCGCUUUCGUAAAGCGGGGGUUAUGGGUUCAACUCCCAUCUUCGGCU
rnacentral:tRNA from 1 species